rnacentral:pre_miRNA from 1 species
CUACUACUCCCUCCGUCCGAAAAUACUUUUCAUUGAAAUGGAUGUAUCUAGAUGUAUUUUAGUUCUAGACACAUCCAUUUUGAUGACAAGUAAUUCCAGACGGAGGGAGUAUUAU